UCCUGCUCUGGAAUGCAGGCUCUUCAAGAGCAAGUGAAGCGUCCUGCCAGCUUGCUCGCCACCAUGUGCCUGGCACACUGCCCAGCGCGUUGCAGGUGCACAAUAAUCAUUUGUUGAAUUAAGGAAGCAACGUAUUAUGAAAAUAUCUGGUGUAGUCUGCUGGCAUUCUGAUUUUCCAAGGACUUACGUAAACCUGUCCAGAAUCAUCUUGGCCCUAAGGAUGGAGGUCUACUACUCCACACACUCAGUGAAGACCAUGGAAAAGGCAUG